GGUACUGCCAUCUUUCGCGCGUGUAUCGAACUCUAUUUUUUGCUACACCUGUAACGGAAAGUCCGACAUACACGAUUAUAUUUACACGAAACCACGGCACGAUGUCUGUUCAGUGACGAUGUCGAGCACGGCAAAGAGUGACAAACUAUUCCGUCGGUGGCGCUAGUGCAGCUGUUUGCGAAAUGCGCAACUGUGGAUAAAAGCGCGACCGUCUUUUUCGCACACCGCUAGCAACGUGCGAAGGUUUUUUUCUCACACCGCUAGCGAUGCGCGAAAGUUUUUCCCGCACGUGUGUAUAAAAGACUACUUUCGGUGCUUGUAAA